rnacentral:rRNA from 1 species
AUGAACGCUAGCGGCAGGCUUAACACAUGCAAGUCGAGGGGCAGCAUAAUGGAUAGCAAUAUCUAUGGUGGCGACCGGCGCACGGGUGCGUAACGCGUAUGCAACCUACCUUUAACAGGGGGAUAACACUGAGAAAUUGGUACUAAUACCCCAUAAUAUCAUAGAAGGCAUCUUUUAUGGUUGAAAAUUCCGAUGGUUAGAGAUGGGCAUGCGUUGUAUUAGCUAGUUGGUGGGGUAACGGCUCACCAAGGCGACGAUACAUAGGGGGACUGAGAGGUUAACCCCCCACACUGGUACUGAGACACGGACCAGACUCCUACGGGAGGCAGCAGUGAGGAAUAUUGGUCAAUGGACGCAAGUCUGAACCAGCCAUGCCGCGUGCAGGAUGACGGCUCUAUGAGUUGUAAACUGCUUUUGUACGAGGGUAAACGCAGAUACGUGUAUCUGUCUGAAAGUAUCGUACGAAUAAGGAUCGGCUAACUCCGUGCCAGCAGCCGCGGUAAUACGGAGGAUUCAAGCGUUAUCCGGAUUUAUUGGGUUUAAAGGGUGCGUAGGCGGUUUGAUAAGUUAGAGGUGAAAUUUCGGGGCUCAACCCUGAACGUGCCUCUAAUACUGUUGAGCUAGAGAGUAGUUGCGGUAGGCGGAAUGUAUGGUGUAGCGGUGAAAUGCUUAGAGAUCAUACAGAACACCGAUUGCGAAGGCAGCUUACCAAACUAUAUCUGACGUUGAGGCACGAAAGCGUGGGGAGCAAACAGGAUUAGAUACCCUGGUAGUCCACGCAGUAAACGAUGAUAACUCGUUGUCGGCGAUACACAGUCGGUGACUAAGCGAAAGCGAUAAGUUAUCCACCUGGGGAGUACGUUCGCAAGAAUGAAACUCAAAGGAAUUGACGGGGGCCCGCACAAGCGGAGGAACAUGUGGUUUAAUUCGAUGAUACGCGAGGAACCUUACCCGGGCUUAAAUUGCACUCGAAUGAUCCGGAAACGGUUCAGCUAGCAAUAGCGAGUGUGAAGGUGCUGCAUGGUUGUCGUCAGCUCGUGCCGUGAGGUGUCGGCUUAAGUGCCAUAACGAGCGCAACCCCUACCGUUAGUUGCCAUCAGGUGAAGCUGGGCACUCUGGCGGGACUGCCGGUGUAAGCCGAGAGGAAGGUGGGGAUGACGUCAAAUCAGCACGGCCCUUACGUCCGGGGCUACACACGUGUUACAAUGGUAGGUACAGAGGGCAGCUACCCAGCGAUGGGAUGCGAAUCUCGAAAGCCUAUCUCAGUUCGGAUUGGAGGCUGAAACCCGCCUCCAUGAAGUUGGAUUCGCUAGUAAUCGCGCAUCAGCCAUGGCGCGGUGAAUACGUUCCCGGGCCUUGUACACACCGCCCGUCAAGCCAUGGGAGCCGGGGGUGCCUGAAGUUCGUGACCGCAAGGAGCGACCUAGGGCAAAACUGGUGACUGGGGCU